AUAUUUGUUUACAAUAGAUUAUUACAUAUCAAUACUGAAAUGAAUUACAUAACCUAAUAAGAAAAAAUAUAAAAAAGUUACACAAUAGAGAGCCUGAAAAUAGGCCAGAUCUUCAGUACCUGACUAGAACUUCCUCUUUGAGUUAUGUAAUAAAUCACCUCAAGUGCCAAGAUUGAUCCACGGCCUUUCUCAUAUCGAGAUUUGUCAAAGUUUCCUAAGGACCUCAAGGGAUCUCGGGCAGCGCUCAUACCUAGAUUUCAUAGCCAAGACAGAGUAACUGCAAUGUGGAAAGGCCAUCUUUCAUGUGUCGAAGUUACGAGGGAGCUCAAGGGUUCCAAGGCAAAGCUUACACAAAAAGGGAAAACUUAGUGGUCCAAGAGUAGAGUGAGAGCACUUAAUAUAGUCUGAACGAACUUAUUAAAACAAUGUUGAAGUAAAACUUUCAAGAGUGACAAGGUUUUCAGGAAUAGACACAGUUUUUAGAAAAAAUGCUAAGACUGAAAAUAUUUUUGGAAGCAGUUCUAAGAAAACACACAAUCACAAAUAAAGAACAACUUAGAGUGCCCAAAUUCAUAGUCAUUUAUUACUUGAUUCUAAGUGAAGACAAACAGCUCUACAAAUAAGGAUCAGGGGGCAGGGGACAUAAAGAGCCUAAAUUAGAAACACAUAAACAUGGAUAAGAGGAGAAGCAUAUAGAUAUACAAGUACAAAGGACAAGUAGGAACUAAUUGACGUCCAUAGCACAAAACUAUCACUUCAAAGUGUUAACAAAGGAAUCAUGCUCAAAAUUAGAAUAGUAAUAGGCAGCAAGAAAUAGAGACAGGGUAUGGGAGUAGUCAUGCUGAGGACAGGGGUCUAUUACACAGAAUUAGUUAUGCCGCUUAGUGUUAAUCAAGUACAUUAGGAGUUUAUGAUACUAACAUGAACAGACUACUUGAGGGAAAUAAACAAGAACUCAAUUAAAC
rnacentral:lncRNA from 1 species